GGGAAAGGUGAAAAGCACCCCGGGAGGGGAGUGAAAUAGAACCUGAAACCGUGUGCCUACAACAAGUUCGAGCCCGUUAAUGGGUGAGAGCGUGCCUUUUGUAGAAUGAACCGGCGAGUUACGUUAUGAUGCGAGGUUAAGUUGAAGAGACGGAGCCGUAGGGAAACCGAGUCUGAAUAGGGCGCCUUAGUAUCAUGACGUAGACCCGAAACCAUGUGACCUACCCAUGAGCAGGUUGAAGGUGCGGUAAGACGCACUGGAGGACCGAACCAGGGCACGUUGAAAAGUGCUUGGAUGACUUGUGGGUAGCGGAGAAAUUCCAAACGAACUUGGAGAUAGCUGGUUCUCUCCGAAAUAGCUUUAGGGCUAGCGUCGACAUUAGAGAUUCUUGGAGGUAGAGCACUGUUUGGGUGAGGGGUCCAUCCCGGAUUACCAAUCUCAGAUAAACUCCGAAUGCCAAUGAAUUAUGGUCGGCAGUCAGACUGCGAGUGCUAAGAUCCGUAGUCGAAAGGGAAACAGCCCAGACCA
rnacentral:rRNA from 1 species